AUGGGGAGGAAGAAAUUGCCCACUCUGUACCAUUCAAGUGCAUCGGUGCUGCUCAUGAGAAAAACUACUGACAUCAUUUGGAAAAUUAAGGCAUAAUACCUUGCUCUUCAUAAACAAGAUAAAACAGUGAAUUCAAUGUAAGAAUACGGCCAGCACCAUUGAAUCCAAGGGACCCAAGUGCAAUGGUCAAUUCCAGCUUUUAGGUUAUGCAUGCAGGGGGUGAUGGGAAGUAAGGUAUCAUAUUGCUGAUAAUGCUGAAAAAUAGAAAUGGUGGCCAUGUAAACAUGGAUAGAUAG